UACGGAGGGGGCUAGCGUUGUUCGGAAUUACUGGGCGUAAAGCGUACGUAGGCGGCUUUGUAAGUUAGAGGUGAAAGCCCGGGGCUCAACCCCGGAAUUGCCUUUAAGACUGCAUCGCUUGAAUCGCGGAGAGGUGAGUGGAAUUCCGAGUGUAGAGGUGAAAUUCGUAGAUAUUCGGAAGAACACCAGUGGCGAAGGCGGCUCACUGGACGCGUAUUGACGCUGAGGUACGAAAGCGUGGGGAGCAAAGCGGG
rnacentral:rRNA from 1 species